rnacentral:lncRNA from 1 species
GAGGAAGAAGAUACAGAAGUUGUUUUAAUAUUUUCAGAAACCCUAAAUUGAAACAGGCUAAAUUUGAAAAAGAAAAAUUGGGGAAAAGCUUUAAAACGUUGAAUACAACAUAGAUUCAUCACAGGUUUACACAAAUAAAAGAAUAAGGAACCUCGAAAUAGCUUUAGGGUUUUUCAGAAACCCUAGAAAUGAGAAGGCUUGGAAAUGUCUGGUCUCGAAUAGGUCUGAGCAGUAGCUAGGCUCUUAAAUCUUAAACACGUCGGAACAGAGCCGGAGAGGCCAUAGAAGCACAGAUCGGCGGAGGAUCUGAACAUGCUUCGUUGAGGUCAGACCUCAAAUCCUUGAAAAACCAGGGCCUGGAAGUUGAAGCAGGUGAGCACAGGUUGUCCAUGGCCUGAGAAGCCAUGGACUCCGGUGAAGAUUGAUAGGAGAAGACGAGGGAGAUGAUUAGGAUUUCGAGGGCUUGAGAGCAUUUCAGAGGAAGAAAGUUCG